rnacentral:rRNA from 1 species
UACGGGGGGAGCAAGCGUUGUUCGGAUUUACUGGGCGUAAAGGGCGCGUAGGCGGCGUGGUAAGUCACUUGUGAAAUCUCUGAGCUUAACUCAGAACGGCCAAGUGAUACUGCUGUGCUAGAGUGCAGAAGGGGCAAUCGGAAUUCUUGGUGUAGUGGUGAAAUGCGUAGAUAUCGGGAGGAACACCAGUGGCGAAGGCGACUACCUGGCCUGUUCUUGACGCUGAGGCGCGAAAGCUAGGGGAGCAAACGGG